UGAGAAGGCGCAUUGCAAAUUAACUGCGUUGCUGCUGUGUGACAAAUCUAUGUGAUUUACAAUGGGCGCGUGUCCGGCACGCUGCUCCCAGAGCAAGGUCGCAGCAAAGGAAGAGGAAUUGAACGACUCCUUGCAAGGUUAAUUUGCAUGCCCGGGGCAGUCGAGUGCGACCUGAAUGAGCUUUGCCUCUUGUUAAAAGUGCUGCCAGUCGCAUUUGCUCCUCGGACCACUGCAGACACAAUGAGAUACCAUCUGUGCGCCACCGUGCUGCUGCUUGCAAUUUUCGUCAUGGCCUUCCAGACGGUGAGCGGACAGGAGCCCACGGAGGAGCCAGACCACGAUUUGCAAGUGCUGAUGCGAGCCAUGCGAAUCUACGAGCCUUUGUGCCCAAGAGGACAGUAUAUCAUCCGAGGUGAAUGCAAGUACCCUUUGAUAGGAUGAACAGUUAUUUCUUGUCUCCCGCACCCUUAUUGAAACGCAGCGUUAUAAAAACUAAUUAUGGCGCCUUUCUUUGCAUCGAGAUGUAUUUAAAGUUCCUAUUAUAUCGAAUAAAUUUUUUACAUUCCUU